rfam:TPA: Bos taurus chromosome 2, whole genome shotgun sequence.
UCCCUGGUAGCUCAGGCAGUAAAGCAUCUGCCUACAAAGCGGAAAACCCGGGUUCAAUCCCUGGGUUGGGAA